rnacentral:lncRNA from 1 species
CUCGUCUCCGGGCUGGGGCCGGUAGCGGUCAGGGUGGUAGCGCCGGGCCAGCUGGCGGUAGGCCCGCGCGAUCUCCGCCUUGCCCGCCGAGCGGCUCACGCCCAGCACCUCGUAGCAGUCCCGCGUGCCGCAGUAGAGCCCCUCCACCAGGGCCCCCGCGGGCCGCACCAGCAGCAGCGCCGGCAGCAGGGGCGCCAGCAGCAUCCACCAGCGCCGGCCGGCAGCCCCGGCUCCCCAGCCGGGAGAGAGCAGCGGCGCCCCCAUCCCCAGCCUCGCUGGCGGCUCUGCCACCCCAGCGAUUCUGCAGCACUCAGCCGCGCGCCCGGCUAGUCCCGUCUGGCCCCAGCUACACGUCAGCAGCCGACGCCUCCGCGCAGGCGCACAGGGCGCGGCUACAGCAACUACUUCCUUCGCAACCCGUUGGUAGGGAGAAGGACGCCUCAGCCACUAGGCUGCUUCCGGUGUGUCACUGAACACCUUCCCCGUACCAGCAGCUGGAGGAUUUGUUUGGUAGCACCUGGGGGAUGGCUCUGUCCCGGGCGCACUUAGGCGGGCUGUGCGGAGCGCUUUACCUUCCACAGUGUCCGGCACACGCAUCCUUUUCGACAUCAUCACUUGACCUGCUGCAAUAGACAAGUCUUGCUGUGUUGCCCAGGCCGGAGUGCAGUGGUGCAAUCUCUGCUCAGUGCAACCUCUGCCUCCUGGGUUCAAGUGAUCAUUCUGCCUCAGGCUCCUGACUAAUUGGGAUUACAGGCAUGCACCACCACACCAGCUAAUGUUUGUAUUUUCAGUGGAGACGGGGUUUUACCAUGUUGGCCAGGCUGGUCUCAAACUCCUGACCUCAGGUGAUUCGCCUGCCUCGGCCUCCCAAAGUGCUGGGUUUACAGGCGUGAGCCACCGCCCGGCCUCAUGUCAUCAAAAGAAGAGAAAACAGAGGCACAAGAGAAGAUGACCACAGAAGACAGAGGCAGAGGCUGGGGUUAUGCUACCACAAACCGGAGAAUGCCAAGGAUUGCUGGCAACCACCAGGAGCCUGGGGAGAGGCGUGGAACCCCUCCUCCCUCAGAGGCCCCAGAAGGAUCCAACCCUGCUAAUACCUUGAUUUUAGACUUCCCACCCCCAGAACUGUG